GCAGUCGAACGCUUCUUUUCCCACCGGAGCUUGCUCCACCGGGAAAAGAGGAGUGGCGAACGGGUGAGUAACACGUGGGUAACCUGCCCAUCAGAAGGGGAUAACACUUGGAAACAGGUGCUAAUACCGUAUAACAAUCGAAACCGCAUGGUUUCGUUUUGAAAGGCGCUUUACGGUGCCGCUGAUGGAUGGACCCGCGGUGCAUUAGCUAGUUGGUGAGGUAACGGCUCACCAAGGCCACGAUGCAUAGCCGACCUGAGAGGGUGAUCGGCCACAUUGGGACUGAGACACGGCCCAAACUCCUACGGGAGGCAGCAGUAGGGAAUCUUCGGCAAUGGACGAAAGUCUGACCGAGCAACGCCGCGUGAGUGAAGAAGGUUUUCGGAUCGUAAAACUCUGUUGUUAGAGAAGAACAAGGGUGAGAGUAACUGUUCACCCCUUGACGGUAUCUAACCAGAAAGCCACGGCUAACUACGUGCCAGCAGCCGCGGUAAUACGUAGGUGGCAAGCGUUGUCCGGAUUUAUUGGGCGUAAAGCGAGCGCAGGCGGUUUCUUAAGUCUGAUGUGAAAGCCCCCGGCUCAACCGGGGAGGGUCAUUGGAAACUGGGAGACUUGAGUGCAGAAGAGGAGAGUGGAAUUCCAUGUGUAGCGGUGAAAUGCGUAGAUAUAUGGAGGAACACCAGUGGCGAAGGCGGCUCUCUGGUCUGUAACUGACGCUGAGGCUCGAAAGCGUGGGGAGCAAACAGGAUUAGAUACCCUGGUAGUCCACGCCGUAAACGAUGAGUGCUAAGUGUUGGAGGGUUUCCGCCCUUCAGUGCUGCAGCUAACGCAUUAAGCACUCCGCCUGGGGAGUACGACCGCAAGGUUGAAACUCAAAGGAAUUGACGGGGGCCCGCACAAGCGGUGGAGCAUGUGGUUUAAUUCGAAGCAACGCGAAGAACCUUACCAGGUCUUGACAUCCUUUGACCACUCUAGAGAUAGAGCUUCCCCUUCGGGGGCAAAGUGACAGGUGGUGCAUGGUUGUCGUCAGCUCGUGUCGUGAGAUGUUGGGUUAAGUCCCGCAACGAGCGCAACCCUUAUUGUUAGUUGCCAUCAUUUAGUUGGGCACUCUAGCAAGACUGCCGGUGACAAACCGGAGGAAGGUGGGGAUGACGUCAAAUCAUCAUGCCCCUUAUGACCUGGGCUACACACGUGCUACAAUGGGAAGUACAACGAGUCGCGAAGUCGCGAGGCUAAGCUAAUCUCUUAAAGCUUCUCUCAGUUCGGAUUGUAGGCUGCAACUCGCCUACAUGAAGCCGGAAUCGCUAGUAAUCGCGGAUCAGCACGCCGCGGUGAAUACGUUCCCGGGCCUUGUACACACCGCCCGUCACACCACGAGAGUUUGUAACACCCGAAGUCGGUGAGGUAACCUUUUUGGAGCCAGCCG
rnacentral:rRNA from 1 species